UAUACAGCGAAACUGCGAAUGGCUCAUUAUAUAAGUUAUCGUUUAUUUGAUAGUGCCUUACUACUUGGAUAACCGUGGUAAUUCUAGAGCUAAUACAUGCUAAAAACCCCGACUUCGGAAGGGGUGUAUUUAUUAGAUACAAAACCAAUGCCCUUCGGGGCUCUUUGGUGAUUCAUGAUAACUAUACGAAUCGCACGGCCUUGCGCCGGCGAUGGUUCAUUCAAAUUUCUUCCCUAUCAACUUUCGAUGUUUGGGUAUUGGCCAAACAUGGUUGCAACGGGUGACGGAGGGUUAGGGCUCGACCCCGGAGAAGGAGCCUGAGAAACGGCUACUACAUCCAAGGAAGGCAGCAGGCGCGCAAAUUACCCAAUCCCGACUCGGGGAGGUAGUGACAAUAAAUACUGAUACAGGGCCCUUUCGGGCCUUGUAAUUGGAAUGAGUACAAUUUAAAUCCCUUAACGAGGAACAAUUGGAGGGCAAGUCUGGUGCCAGCAGCCGCGGUAAUUCCAGCUCCAAUAGCGUAUAU
rnacentral:rRNA from 1 species